rnacentral:rRNA from 1 species
AUUAAAGAUUUUGGCGGUAUUUUAGUCCAUUCAGAGGAACCUGUCCUGUAAUUGAUAAUCCACGAUUUAAUUUACUUGUUUUUUUUAGUUUGUAUAUCGUCGUGGGUUGAAUAUUUUAUAAGAAUUAUAAUGUUCAAUAAAUAUAAAUUUAUUUUAUGUCAGAUCAAGGUGCAGCUUAUGAAUAAGAAGAGAUGGGUUACAAUAAAAUUAUUUUUGGUUUAUUAGCUUUAAUGUUUUUAGUAAAUUGGAUUUGAAUGUAAUAUUUUUUAAUUUAUAGAUGUGAUUUUGGCUCUAAAAUAUGCACAUAUUGCCCGUCGCUCUCAUUUAAUAUGAGAUAAGUCGUAACAAAGUAGAUGUACUGGAAAGUGUAUCUAGAAAGAU